rnacentral:rRNA from 1 species
UACGAAGGGUGCAAGCGUUGCUCGGAAUUACUGGGCGUAAAGCGCACGUAGGCGGCUUUCUAAGUCGGGGGUGAAAUCCUGGAGCUCAACUCCAGAACUGCCUUCGAUACUGGAAAGCUCGAGUCCGGGAGAGGUGAGUGGAACUGCGAGUGUAGAGGUGAAAUUCGUAGAUAUUCGCAAGAACACCAGUGGCGAAGGCGGCUCACUGGCCCGGUACUGACGCUGAGGUGCGAAAGCGUGGGGAGCAAACAGG